UUAAGCUUGCGCCCAUGAACCGUUUCCAGUCCACGCUUCGACGUCGCCGCCCGCUUCCCGUCCCGGAUGCCGCCGGCUCGUCACGGACUCGCGCCUAACCGCUUCCCUGUUACGCGCAAGCUGUUCGAACCACCCAGCCACGGCAUGUACCGUGGCUUUUUU
rnacentral:ncRNA from 1 species